UACGUAGGGUGCAAGCGUUGUCCGGAAUUAUUGGGCGUAAAGAGCUCGUAGGCGGUUUGUUGCGUCGGCUGUGAAAUCCCGAGGCUCAACCUCGGGUCUGCAGUCGAUACGAGCAAACUAGAGUGUUGCAGGGGAGACUGGAACUCCUGGUGUAGCGGUGGAAUGCGCAGAUAUCAGGAAGAACACCGGUGGCGAAGGCGGCUCUCUGGGCCUUACCUGACGCUGAGGAGCGAAAGCGUGGGUAGCGAACAGG
rnacentral:rRNA from 1 species